rnacentral:rRNA from 1 species
GCACUCCGCCUGGGGACUACGGUCGCAAGACUAAAACUCAAAGGAAUUGACGGGGACCCGCACAAGCGGUGGAGCAUGUGGUUUAAUUCGAUGCAACGCGAAAAACCUUACCACUCCUUGACAUGGAGAUUAGAUCCUUCUUAACGGAAGGGCGCAGUUCGGCUGGAUCUCGCACAGGUGCUGCAUGGCUGUCGUCAGCUCGUGUCGUGAGAUGUUGGGUUAAGUCCCGCAACGAGCGUAACCCUCAUCCUUAGUUGCCAGCGGGUUAAGCCGGGCACUUUAAGGAAACUGCCAGUGGUAAACUGGAGGAAGGUGGGGAUGAUGUCAAGUCAGCACGGCCCUUAUGGGGUGGGCUACACACGUGCUACAAUGGUGACUACAAUAGGUUGCAAUGUCGCAAGGCUGAGCUAAUCCGUAAAAGUCAUCUCAGUUCGGAUUGUCCUCUGCAACUCGAGGGCAUGAAGUCGGAAUCGCUAGUAAUCGUGGAUCAGCAUGCCACGGUGAAUACGUUCUCGGGUCUUGUACACACUGCCCGUCACGCCAUGGGAAUUGGCUUAACUCGAAGCUGGUGCGCUAACCGAAA